rnacentral:sRNA from 1 species
AUGGCUCAGCAGUUAAGGGCAAGUGCUGUUCUUACAGAGGACUUGAGUUUAGUUCCCACCACCCACAUUGGACAUCUCAUAACCCUCUGUAGUUCCAGCUUUCUGGGAUCAGUUACCUCUGGCCCCAGUGGCAUUUGCAUUCAGGUGUGCAUAACCCCCAUGUAGAUAAUUAAAAAUAAAGUGAACGUUUAAAAGGCUAGCACACAAAAUAAUAUUGGCAGCUUGCUUCACUAGGGGAAUAAUAUUAUUUUCUAAAAUUACUUUUGUAUUUCCUUCUAAGUUUGUAACCAUAAAUCUAGUGAAAUAUGAGUCUAUCCUGUCUUGUCUAACAGAAAGAGGUGAGAUUUCUUUUCUUUUCACUUAGUAUUUCUUUUCACUUAAUAGACUAUAUUAAUCACAGUUCCUUUGCUAUAAUGUACAAAUUGUAUUGGCGAGAAACUUUUAGCAUCUACUAAAAUGUCAAAAUGGAAAGAAGAGAGUAUUCUGUGAAGUUUGACAAUGGACCACACAUGACCCAAGGGAAUGGUUCACCAAUGAGUGUCAGGUGUGACAGCUGGUAGCAGAGUGACCCUGGGCAGUUUUAACACGAGGAACAACACUCACAUGCAGGGACUGGCCAGCAGGGAGGACAGGGACACAAGGAGCAGUAGCAUGAAUGGUGCACUUGCUCACACACAGUCAGGCUGGAGAUGGAGAUUUGUCUAAAGGAGCUUCUUGUAGGAAUUCCUGUUUGUUCCGUGAGAGCCUGAGGAAACACCUCAGCAGGACUACAUUCUUGUGUGGCUACUUCUCUUCAGUAGUUUGCUUCUCAGGCUGAUUCGUCCAUUGUACAAAUCUGAACACUUCCUGUGUACAGAAGCUGUGCUAAAUCCUGAGAGAAGCUGAGGGGCAAGGCCAGCAGGAGCCUAUGCUUCAAGCUCAGGUCAGGAGUCACUUCCAAAGUGACAAGAGCAUUGAUACCAGAGCAGAUCCCAUGCCUGGGAACACUCAGCUGGCCCUAGUGCAGCAGUCCUGUGGGUCUUAUGUUACAGUUUAUAACAGUAGCAAAAUCACAGGAAGUAGCAGUGAAAAUAAUUUUAUGGCUGGGGUCACCACAUGCGGAUCUGUAUUAAAGAGUCUAGCAUUAGGAAGGUUGAGAACCACUGCCUUAGGGGAUAGAGGGAAACCAGAGCUAGAGAUGAAGGCACUGAAUUCAGUUCCAGGAUUGCUGGUGACAGCCCAAGUUGCCCACUCCUGUUACCUGGGUUAGGGCCUGUUUUCUUCAAAAUUGUCUUUACAUCACCCAGCCUGAUGUGUGGAUGAUGUAAGAAAAGAUACCACAUUUUGGUCUCAGGUUCCUACCUAUGUUACUCUACAUACUCCACUUAGCCACCUCCUGUCCAGCCCUUAUGUCUCAACUCAGACACCCUUCUUCCCAGUCUUCAGUCAGGACUGUGUGCACUCCGCAAGGUGCAGAAACACUGGUCCCAGAGGGGUCCAGAGAGGCAGGACAGAAGGCCAGUGGGGUCUAGACGAAGUCCUUCAGGCAUACCCUUCAGCCCUGGUACUUUGCUCCAUGCAAAGUAACAUUUCAAACCAGUGAGUGUACCUGAUGGUUCGUGCAAUGAGAGCAGAAAUCCCUAUCGGUCUCCUGUUAUAGUCAGUUUCCAGCAAACAAUUAAUGAGUGAUUGGAUGCCAUUGGAAUGUAUCAGUCAAGAAAGUGGUGAGAGAAGGGGAUUGUGGGUUGUUCCAGUGUUGGCAGCAUGUUGUACUUAUGGGUUAGGAGGGAAAUGAAAAGGGGAGGAAGGGUUGGUUGAUGUGUACAGGAGAGUUGGCCAGAGAGCCUGAGAAGGGAGUGCUUUCUGUCGCCUUGAGAUGAGGGAGAGGCUUUUCAGUAGCAGCCUGCCAUGGACAUACACUGUUCCCGUGGGUGAUGGAGCCUCAGACAGGUGCCUGUGGGUUUCUCUAAGCCUCGAAUGUAUUUGUGGUCAGAAGCAGUGCUGCAUAGCUGUAGUUAAGCUCGUCACUUGGGGUUGGAUUCUCGUAACAUCAAUGUGCCUGUGCUUCCUGCCGUCCUGUUCAGGUCUCAUCAGUACUGAUUUGGGGCAGCUAUGAGGACUGCAACGUCCACAAGGGAGCUUUCUGCAGCAUACUGUGCCAGACUCUACUAGAGGAAGAUUUUCUUCACUGGUAUUUUACCGGAGGUUUGACUCCAGUUCCGUAUUGCAUUUGUAAGGAAGGCUAGAUGUCUCAGGAUACAAGAGGGGACGUACUUGCAGAGGUGCGGGGUGCAGAGGUGCGGGGUGUGAAGGCUACUACCAUCUUUGAGAGGUCCAGCAACAGUGCAGGGUUUCUAGGUUAUUUGCAUCUCUGGGUGGAAGAUUUGCCCAGUGAUUCUCAACAAUUUUGUAGUACACACUGUGUCAUUGAAUAGCUUAAGACCUUGGAAGUAAAAAGCUAAGCCCUGUGACAUGCCCUGUGUGAACUGGAGUCAGUAGUAUAAGUGUAUGCUGGAGUUGUGCAGACUGAAGGACAUUAGAAGCAGUUAGAAGCGACCAAGUUCAAGAAGCAUGGCGGCCAGGUCAGUUACCAUCCCCCAGUCUUUGACACCCCAGCUUCUCUCUAGCUGUGCAUGAAUUCUCAUGUUUGCAGUGACUCAUAUUAGAUCUGACUGAGAGCCAGCAGUUUCUGUUCAUUUUUAAUACAAUCUGCAGAAUUUUGAAAUGCUUAGUAAAGUACCCAGGUAAAAAUUUUGCUAGAAGUAAUCAUUGUUCAUGAUAUAGAAAUUACACUCUAGAACCACAAAGUGGUCAGUGAAAGGCUGUUCUCCCAGGAUAGCAGCUUCUCAGAUAGCUGUCCAGUGUUCAUCUCUUCCCUGUCUACUCUUUUCUUCCUCUUACCUUUUGCCCCGCUUCAGAUAAGCAAAUGGCUAUGUCCAUAGCCAUGUCAGCAGCAGCAUUUGUGUACCUUCUAAUGUACCCAGGGCAUGUUUCCAUAGCAGCAGGAGAGGUGGCAACUUCUGUCUGCUUCAUUAUUGUUGGGAGUAUUUGCAUGUUAACAGUAAUGCCACCAUAUACGAUUCUGUAUAGCUUGGGUGAGCCAGUGCUUGCUUUCACGGACAAGCACACUGGUUUUUGUGUUUCUUAUUGCUCAGUAUUGUACUUUGCUUUCUCACCCUCAUACAGAUAUAUAUGUAUAGAAGUAAAAAUGUUAAAUUUUUGUUUUAACUUCAUUAGUGUCAUUAAGUAUAAAAAUAAAUAUGAUUUCAGAAUAAUGAAUGAAGUUUGAUUUUGGCUUUCUAAAACUUGGAAUUCAAUGAUACUUACUGUUGCAGCUCUUAAAAGGACAGAAAGGGAGCUUUCUAGGGAGCCUGCAACUGUGAGACUGUGCACAAGCCUGUGCGCACUCAGUUUUCUGAAGUCAAGUUGCUUCUGAUACUUUAUAUUUUACUGUCAUGUUAGAGGCUUCAUCUCAUGAUCAUUUGUUCAUUCACAUGUGUUUUUAUUUUUAGCUCUAAGCAAAAGAACAUGAGGCUGAAUUGAGGUGGCUUUGUGGUCAUCCGAUUUCUAGACGUGUGCGGUCACCUGGUCCUGAAAACCCUCCACACAGAAUGGUUUGCAAUUUUUUUUGGUGAUGGCAUGUUCAGAAUCUUGGAUCCCUAAAUUGAAUGUUGGAAAUAUGUAGGAGCCUUGGAAAUUACGUUGUUUUCAUAUAUUAAUGUUUUGGUAGACUAAUAAAUGUAUGUAAAGGAACUCCAUACUUGUAAGGUGACAGGUAUGUCUCAGGGCUGUCACCUGUGUGAGUGCUGUGCUCUGGAGACAGCUCUGCUGUGGAGAUUCUCUGUGGACCUCUUGCUGUCCUGGGCAGACUGUGAGAUUCCUCCCAUGAUGCUUUGGUUAGCUGGUUUUCUUUCCUACCUACAUUGCAGUGGGAGCUCCUUAGAUCAGGAGUUAUGAAGAGAAGAAAAAGCAUCAAGUAACAAUCUUAAAUGCAGUAACCACAGAAUUUCUACCUGGGAAUCAUCUUACAAGGUCUGUAUUAGAAUAUAUAAUUUUUUAAAUCAAAUAUAUGUGUAGCGAAAUGCAGCCAGUUUUUAAAGUCAGGCAUUAUUGUAGAUCAGAGGUGUUCACAUUGAGGGAAUAAGGAUGCUCGCUUUCACCUUCUUCCUGUCUCCUCCUUGUCAGUUGAUGAGUUAGUAGGAAGGGGUUAGUGGUCUAUGUAAAGAGGAGGAGGAGAGGCUUAAAUUUCCUGAAAGGAUUAAUUUCCCUUAAAAUAAAACCAAAAACAAAAAACCCAACAAACCAAAAACUUAGAAGUUGGUUCCCUUCCCUGUGUGGGCUGCUCUCAUGUAGAAUGUGGGUGGGAGAGUCUCCAUCCAUGGACAGAUGAUGGUGGUAUCGGGUGCAGUGCAGGUUAGAGUCGCUGUAGUUACCCUUGAUGGUGUGUGGUCCUUCACUGCCUCCUGCACCUGCUGGAACUCAGAGACUUAAGGAAGCUCAGUUACUCCGUUGUCAGUGUGAAUGCCGUUCUCCUCUUACAUCCUCACUGGGGAGUACUGAUUGCAGGGACCACGGUUAGAGCAGCCUGGAACGUGAAGGGAGUGCAGGAAGCUGCAGAAACUGAACCAGAGCUCAGGAGAGCCUCCGUUGAGUUUUAUUAUUGGUGGGUUGUCCAUUGUUCCUGGAGACCUUGCUUACCUGCAGUCACCAUUAUCCUUAGAUUUCUCUUGGAGUUUUUCAGAAACUGAAGGGCUGUAAUCCUGCCAGUGGCGCCCCUUCUAGUUAAAAUCUAAUUAUAUCAUUUCCCUUCUUGCCUUUCUUCCCUCCAACCUUCUCUUCCCUUUUCAGUGGCAGAAAUGAUACUUAUUAGAUGAUACUUAUUUGCUGGGAAACACUACUUAGAUUUUAAUUGUGACAUACCAGUGUCAGUGUCAGUUGCUUCCUGAUUAUAACUGGCUUUGAAAAACUCUCCUCCUGUGGCACUGCUGUCAACAGAGGUUUCCUUUUAGCUGGUUCUAGCCACAGUAUCGAUUGGGCCUGGGGAUCUGAUAUACCCAAAAACAAAUUAGCCAGCCAGAAAAAAAUCUUUGUCCCCACCGGAAUAAAUAUUUUAAAGACCUUCUUAGAUUCUGAAAACCAUGAGUACAAAUGAAAGAGACCCAUGAAAGAGAAAACCUUAGGAGCUUGACAAAACAAAGUGCUGGUGGGUGCGACUGACCUUCACAGAGCAGCUCUAAGGGAACAGUGCCUCCUGGAGGGGAAGAGAAGGCUGGAGUGUCCUGGACACGAGGCAUUUCCUGUCGCCACAGCUAGUUUUCACAAGCAGGCCAUGGAAUUUAAGAAUAGUGAAUUAUUGUGGUAUGUUCUAAAUGUGUUUGCAGCUCAAUGGUUAAUUUAACUUCAAAUAAAUGUCUUUACGUAUUAAAGAAAAUACAUUAUCAAUAAAAUUCUUUUGUUCCUGUUGUAUAACUUCACAAAAUUCUGUAGAAUAUUCUGUAUAGUGGUAAAUGGAGGGCACAGAAGCUUCUAGAUAAAACUUUUAGGACUGUACUUAAUCUUGUUUUGCUUGGACUACUGAUUGGAGAGCAUUUUAGUGUCGCUCAUGGGAAGUCUGUCCCUUCCUGGGUCACUGUGCUUCACAGCCUCUACUAGUAACACAGGUUAUUUAACAGAAGGACCUAGCGAGUGAGUGGAGCAGUAGCCUGCCACUUUGAGGAAAUGGUAGAGAGACACCAGCACCCCCACAUAGGCAAAGUGCAAUUGCUACACAGAAGGCACAUUGGCAUAUGAGGAUACCCAAUCUUUGGGGUCCUCGAGGCUCACUCUGACUUUGAUCUGCUCCCUUAGUGGUUCUCUGCCUCCAAAGGAAGGGCCUCCAACUUGACGGCUGCCUACUGCUCUUCACAGAGGCCUGCAGCCACAAGCGGGAAGCCUCCUAAAGAAAGGGGACAGACUGCAGCAUCCACUCCUCAGGACAAAGGAGAGAGGAGCGCUCGAAGCAUAGGAUAUGGCAGUGUCUAUUACUGACGAGUAAAGAUUCCAUAAUAAGUCGAAUAGUAAUGCCUUUUAAACGUGAAUAUAUAUACUUUCCCCUGAAUUAUUACAAAGGGUUUCUCAAGUGUGACUUUCUUAUGUCAGCAUAUUAAAUUAUUCUUAAAUUAUGUAAUAGUGACUGGAAUUAGGGAUUCUGUUGUGACUUGUAAAUUUGAAGUGCAUUUUCAGGAAAGUUGUCAAGAUUCCCAGGUGGCUCAUUUUUAUUCCUUUCAGCCGUUCUGGUAUGAUCCUUCCUGAGUUUGUCAGUUGGGAGGAGACACCCUUUGCCUUCUGUUCUGACUCGGUGGCUGCCUCUGGCUGCACUACUCAAAAUCUUUAUUUGUUAGAAGGUCCAUUUGGACAGCUCUUGUGGUUUCACAUCCACAAAAAAAGAGGGUCCUUCGUGCUUCAAAUACAUGCUUCCUGUGGUGACCAUGAACACUGAGUACAAAGGGUUCCAGAAUCUGCUGGAAUUCUGCUACAUUGCCCUGCUCAUCCUUCCUGGGUAAUUCCAUCAUGGCUCCUUCCAGCUCUUCAAAAUGGUCCUGUUUAGCUCCUGAGUUCACAAAGAAGUGUCACACAUAGUUCACCCCUCUUCUUUCCCAUUGUCAGGUUGCAUUCUGCUGAGAACAGGAGCUUCACAUCACUUACUGAGAGACUCAUCCUUCUCCUGAAGAGAAAGCAGUGUUUUAUAUAUAAGUGCCUUGGCUGUCCAAGGAUUGUUUCUAGAAAGUUCACAGCACUGUAUUCUAAAUGUGGCUUCUCAGUGUGCUGGUCACUGCUGUUGUGGUUUUAGCCUGAGAAGCCGAGUGUACCUCAGGCAUGGGAAGACCCAGAGCUGCCUUAUGAGUAUGGAAGCUUGCUAGGACCUGAAGAGAGCUAGAGAUGCUCCUGCGUUUCCCUUGGUGGCUUUAAAACCACACACACACACACACACACACACACACACACACACACACACACACACACACACACACACACAUAUUAUACAGAGAAAGUAUCUGGCAGCAAGAUUUGUCCAGACCAUAGACCAACUUUUAAAGCUACAAAACCUACAUGGACUAUCUAGGUGCAUGUUCGUAAGCCAUCAUUUAAUCUUUUGAAAACUUGGUUACAUUGACAUAAAAGUUUUUUACAUAUAAGUUUCAGAAGGAAUACAGAUGUGUUUUGUGGAAAGGCUAUUAUAUACUGCUGUAAUAAAUUUCUGACUCUUGCUUAAUAAAAAUUAAAUGGUCCAAUUAUGAAAAAUCCAAUACUUGGAAUUUUUUUGGUGGGGUGAUGGUAAGUGCAUGGCUGUUUUUAUUUUUCCUGUAAUAUAUGUGUAUUCUCUGCAGUUGCUGUAUAUAAACCCUGUGGUCAGGGGUCAUAUGUUUUCUCCAGAAACUCCCAAGUGCUUGGCUGUAGUCACUAAGUGCUUAGAGUACUGGAAAUACAUCUCAAGGUUUUCUGUGGACAUGGCAAACUGCUCAAGUAAAGUAGCUUUAUAUUCUGAAGGAGGUUUUAAUAAGUAAGGGUUAGUGGGGGAUGAGGCUCAGAGAGAAAGGAAAGACCCCUGUCUGGAACAAGAGUAGAUAAGCUUAUAUGCACGUCUGAACCCAGUCAGGGUCUCAGGAGUACCAGAGCUCCUGAAUGACUGAAUGCAGCAGUCAGCAUUCACACGCAACAGAAUACAGGAAAAGCAACACAAGGACAAGCAGAAACUGCACGGUAACAAAUGAAAGUUUUAAUUGCAGGGUGAAGCUCAGGGUGGUCAGUCCUGGCACUCAAAAGGCAGGAGGCUUGCACUGUUUCAAGGACAGUUGGGACUAUAGAGUGGAUUCCAGCCAACAGCUCUCAAAGAACAGGACAAGUUUAUACCCCUCUCUGCUAUAUGUUGGGUACAUAGAAUUGAAAGUUUAUACUGUUGAGUUUUCUUAAAGACAUUUGUAGAAUUUCUCAUCCCCCUUUGAGGUCAAGCCUAGGAAGAUGCUGUUCCUUGGCACUGUAGGUCAUUAUUAGCAGGUUGACUGAGUUCUGCUUAAAGGACCUGUUUAACUUUGAAUUUCUUUAGUAGGAUUUCUGGGAUCAGUCAAGGGGAUUGUGACCAUUUCUUUAGUACACAGUUUAGCAGACGUCUUUAUAAAACCAAUCUAACAAUGUAGCAGUGUCAGCAUAGAACCAAUGCUUGGCCAAGAACUUUCUGGAAGUCUCUCACAGUACCAGUAUGUUAAAAUUCAACUGAAAACUCAGGUGAUGUAAAGAUUCCUGACAACACAAGACUUUCAGGAAAUGAUUUGUACCACCCUGAGGAUUAUGGUUAUUAAUUUUGUGUAUGUGCCUGUGUACACACCCAUGCCUACUCCCAUGCUCCAGCUUGAUUACAGGGUCAGGGGAUAGUUUGCAGAAAUCAGUGCUCCUCUUCUACCAUGGGUUCCAGGGCUGGACAUGAGUUGUCAAGCUUGUGUGCCAAGUGCUUUUCACCAAGCCAUCUUCCCGGCCUGGAUUAAUCAAUUUUUAAAAUUUCUGCUCAUCUGUAAUAUCAAGUCUAAGGCUGACUUUUGCAUGCCAUUAUCUUCUUUAGCUGGACUACUUUUAUUAAUAAGCUUUAAAGAACUGAACCAAAAUACACUGAAGUGCCCCUGAUGCCUUUGAGAUAUGUAGCCAUCUCCAUCUUCCCAGAAAUGUCAUUUUCUAGAAAAAUUCUAAGUGCAGUAAUUCCAGUUUCUAUUCCUUGUCUACUCAUGGGCCAGCCACGGUGGUAGGUGUGUCAGGGAGCCACUUUCUUGGGAAGACAUGGCUUUUCCUUGUCUUCUUUCAAGAGUAUGGUUGGAUGUUGUUCAGUAGGCCUUAUAGACACAACACUCAGAGGAGGCUUCGUGACCUCUGACCUGGUGCACAGCACUCUGAGAAUUUCUUCCUGACCUCUUGUGACUAUGCCAAGUUCUUCCCAGUUGUACAUUAGAAGACAUUUGUUCUAGGUAAGUGUUUCCUUAGAGUUUUUUCCUAGAGAGACCCAACAGUGAAUUCUUAAGCCCUAGGCUGUGAUCAGUAAGACAGUUGGGACCUAAAAGCAACACUGAAAUGAUCAAAUAAAGGAACUUGGCCGUAGGGUUGUCUUGGACUCUGGGUUGAGUUGCUCUGUGUCCUUCCCCAGGGCUGCCCAUCACUGGGGCUUCAGAAACUCCAUGGAAAGUAUUAAUAUUGCCAAAUUACAGCAAAGAUUACUCGUCCAUACCUAUUGAAAUACUUAGUAAAAAUACAUCUAGAAACUGGUGGUUUUGUGAUUUUUUUUUCUCUGCACAAGUUUCUUUGGGUCUUUGAUGGCAGUCUCAAGUGGGGAGUUUAGCUUUCUCUCUGCCUUGAUCCCAAGAUGUUUACAUUUGUGGUCAACUGGCACCUUAAGUUUCCCUUACAAACUGGAGAGGUUUGUUUGGUUUGGUUUGGUUUGGUUUCUGCUUGAAUUUCUCCAUGGCCUCUGGAGAAAUCUAAAAUCCAGAUCACAGAACAGGCUUUCAUGCACUUUCCAAAGCUGAUUGUAGAAUCCUUAGGAUAUACCAAAAUAUCGGAGACAUUGAGGGAAGCGGGAAAGGUGUGGCCUGAGUGUAACCUGUGUGUGGCUGCCCCCUGCUCUCCAUUUGCCCUGAUUUGGCAGGUGGAAUUUCUUGAUUUCACCAAGUUGAAGGCAGGUGUUGGAGCGUUGCUUUACCUGUCUGCCAGCAUGAACAAAAAGAUUUUACAGCUCUCCAGGAAACCGCUGUAGUGCAUUGUAGUUUCUUCCUCCUAGAUUUUCAUUUAAAAUUAUCUGUUUAAAAUAAAAUGGAGUAAGGUUCAUUCAGUAUCUGCCGUUUCCUCUUUAAAAAACAAGCAAUAAAAAAAGUUUAACAAACAAGUCAUAAUAAACAUUUUUGCCAUCAGCAGUUGACCCAGAGGCCAUUUAGAGUUGUGCUCAUGAUUGCGGUGCAUUACUCUGAACAUCUGAAGAAGAGAAUGCACAUGACUGUUUGGGCUUGAUGGAGCAGAAGCAUGUGAAAGGACCAUUCCUCUGCAGGCCUUUGUGGGCAUUCUUGUUGUACUGCUCUCUUUGGAGGAAGCUGCAGACCAUCUAGAAUCAAGAACACCAGGAGGAAGGAGGAGAUGGGCAGCCAAGCAGGAGUGAUAUGUGACUCCUUGGGCUAUAGGCAGGGUCGGUACUGGUGUGUCUAUAGCUGGCCCGAACUGUUGGAAUCUGUAUCUUCCACUUGCUUGUUGGGAACUGGUAGACUGCACUAGCACUGCUGCGGCAGAUGUACUGUGAACAGGCAGGCGUACUGCUACCCUAAGACUCCUCAGGGUGAUGGCAGACAACUGUCUCUUGCCAUCUUGCCAACUGGAAGCUCUCAGUUUUACAUCUUUCCUUCCACCCUUUUCAAUGUGAGCUACACAAAAGGCUUUCUUCCAGAAGAUUAUUGGAAGACUUGGUUCAACCGGGUGCACCAGUUAAGUCCCUUCGUUCUUGCAUUGAUGAUGGUUUCUAGGUCUCGGGCACUAUCCCAGCCUCUUGGGAACAGACAUGAAGUUUGUGUUUGGCAAGAACAUGGCACUGUGUGCUCAGCAUGUUGUGGGGAGACUGUGGCAGUACGUGGUGAUGACGAACAGUGUUAGGGUCGGUGUCCUCAGAAGGUGUGUCUUGAGAAGUGUUUGUAAACAUUUCUGCAUUUCCACCUACUACUCCUUGGCCCAUGUUAUGCUUGUAUAUCAGCUCUGGGCAGGCUCUUGUCUGUGCUUGCCUUGCCUGAUUUCCCAUUGGCCAGCUCAGACAUGAGCUCCCUGAUGAAGGUUUAUGUCACUUAAAAUGCAAAGGUUCCUUCCACCAGAAGGGGGUGAUGUUCUUCAGAGGUCCACAGGCCAGGUCUAGGUCAUGCAGCUAGACAUGAGAAAGGACCAGCCUAUGGGCAGUGAGAAAUAGGUCACUAGCAGACCCCAUGUUUCAUCCUGCAGGGAGGAAUUGCGUCUCUGGGCCUAGGGGUUCUCUGCUGUUUUCUGGAGCUUUCCCUGUAAAAGUUAGUUAAUGCUGAGCAGGACCAGGAUUCCUUGGGUACCAUGCACAGGUUAGUACUUCUAGUGAGGGAGGGACUGAAGGCAGAGCAAUUAGAUUUUUUUUCCCUUCCAUCUCUAUACCUUUUUUUUCCUUCAAAAUAUACACAACUUGUUUUAAAAUCUUGAUAUGAUUUGCAUACCUUACUUUCCAUUAAUCAUUCUUGCAGACCAAUCCCUCCCCCCUUUUUCUGUACUAUUGGGUUUGAACCUAGAUGUCAUACAUGCUAGGCAGACCACUCCACUCCCUAUCUGUUGCCCCACACUUUUUCUUUUUGCAGUUUUAGCAAGUACAUAUUCUUUAGUUGAAUGUAUCCUUCUCAGUGUCAUUCUCUGUGUGGCUGUCCUGGAUUGGCUCGUUGUCACUGUAAGAGAAUACUGGACUGAAACAGCUUAGGUGUGGCAGUAGGUCAUGAUA